GGGGACGUUUUGGAUUUGACAGGGCGUUUUGGUGAAAAUAUGCAGCGUGUCGGAGAGCUGUUCUCCGUUAUCAACGGGCAAAACAAAUUAAAUGCUGACAAUGUAAUUAAAGCAGACUUCUCAAGAGCAGUUGCAAAAGCUGCCUAGUUUGUUAAACAGCUACUCAUAGAAUCCAUCUUGCCGAUUUUAUGGGUCAAUUAUGCAAGACGCAGUACGUUGAUACAGAGUAGACGUAUCAAGAUAGCUCUGUAAGGUUUAGAGUUUCCUUUAAAUAAAACCUUGGAUUAGUUUAUAAGGUUUAGACGUUUCCCCGAACUAAUCGAGAUAAAAAUUGCCUACACACGUAGAAGUAUAUUUUUUCCCGUUUUGGACAGGGGUUCGACUCCCCUCGUCUCCA
rnacentral:tmRNA from 1 species